AACGAACGCUGGCGGCAGGCUUAACACAUGCAAGUCGAACGCCCCGCAAGGGGAGUGGCAGACGGGUGAGUAACACGUGGGAACAUGCCCAAAGGUACGGAAUAUUCUCGGGAAACUGGAAGCAAUACCGUAUGUGCCCGAAAGGGGAAAGAUUUAUCGCCUUUGGAUUGGCCCGCGUUGGAUUAGCUAGUUGGUGGGGUAAAAGCCUACCAAGGCGACGAUCCAUAGCUGGUCUGAGAGGACGACCAGCCACACUGGGACUGAGACACGGCCCAGACUCCUACGGGAGGCAGCAGUGGGGAAUCUUGGACAAUGGGCGCAAGCCUGAUCCAGCCAUGCCGCGUGAGUGAUGAAGGCCCUAGGGUUGUAAAGCUCUUUCGCCGACGAAGAUAAUGACGGUAGUCGGAGAAGAAGCCCCGGCUAACUUCGUGCCAGCCGCCGCGGUAACAC
rnacentral:rRNA from 1 species